CGCGGGUUCAAAUCCCGUUUCUCGCUUUUUAAGCACCCGGAUGGUGGAAUAGGUAGACACACAGGACUUAAAAUCCUGUGAUCAU
rnacentral:tRNA from 1 species